rnacentral:rRNA from 1 species
GAACGCUGGCGGUGUGCUUAACACAUGCAAGUCAACGAGAAUUUUAUCUUCGGAUAAAUAAUAAAGUGGCGAACGGGUGAGUAACGCGUAAAUAACUUGCCUUGGAGAUUGGGACAACAUUGGGAAACCAGUGCUAAUACCAAAUAAUGCAAUAAGUUCUUCGGAACAUAUUGUUAAAGUAGGCUUCGGCUUACACUUCAAGAUAGAUUUGCGUCCGAUUAGUUAGUUGGUAGGGUAAUAGCCUACCAAGACUGAGAUCGGUAGCUGGUCUGAGAGGAUGAUCAGCCACACUGGAAUUGAGAUACGGUCCAGACUCCUACGGGAGGCAGCAGUGAGGAAUUUUGCACAAUGGGCGAAAGCCUGAUGCAGCAACACCGCGUGAUUGAUGAAGUUUUUAGGAAUGUAAAAAUCUGUCGUAAGUGAAGAAAUGUUUCGGAUGUUAAUACCAUCUGUCAUUGACGGUAACUUACAAGAAAGGACCGGCUA